AUGUGCUCUCUGAAGACUCACCUUAGAGGAUCAACCAGAAGGGGACAAGGCAGCAGCAGUCUGGUGUCGUUCUCCCCACCCCCACCCCCGUUAUUCAGACUGAGUAACUUCCCUCAGUCUGUCUUCAAGUUUAAAGAUUCCGGUCACCCAUAUGAGGUUUUGAGAACAACUGAAAUCAGGUGGCCUUUUGGAGAAAGAAGGAAGAAUCUGCAGUCUCUUAAUGCCACUGUAAGGAGGGUAGAAGACAUGGCUUUGCUGAUGGCACUGCCUUAGGUCUAUCUGGUUGUAGAGUAGGGUCUGGGACCUGCCAAGGUUCUGCUACCGUUGCUGCUGAAGACAGUGGCCUUAAAUAGUGCCAUAGCUAGGGCUCUGGCUGUGGGACAGCACUAUGCUUGGUCCUGAAAACCUGACUAGGAAUGGUGAGGGAAUAAAGAAGGACACAGACACA
rnacentral:lncRNA from 1 species